rnacentral:rRNA from 1 species
UACGUAGGAUGCAAGCGUUGUCCGGAAUUACUGGGCGUAAAGGGCGCGUAGGCGGUGCUCUAAGUCGGAUGUGAAAACUCUGGGCUCAACCCAGAGCCUGCAUCCGAAACUGGAGUGCUAGAGUUCUGGAGGGGGUAGCGGAAUUCCUGGUGUAGCGGUGAAAUGCGUAGAUAUCAGGAGGAACACCGGUGGCGAAGGCGGCUACCUGGACAGAAACUGACGCUGAGGCGCGAAAGCUAGGGGAGCAAACAGG